rnacentral:rRNA from 1 species
UAGCUUGCUAUUUGGGUGGCGACCGGCGCACGGGUGCGUAACGCGUAUGCAACCUACCUUAUACUGGGGUAUAGCCCGGAGAAAUUCGGAUUAAUCCCCCAUGGUAUUAUUGGAUCGCAUGGUUUGAUAAUUAAAGGUUACGGUAUAAGAUGGGCAUGCGUCCUAUUAGCUAGAUGGUAAGGUAACGGCUUACCAUGGCUACGAUAGGUAGGGGGCCUGAGAGGGUGGUCCCCCACACUGGUACUGAGACACGGACCAGACUCCUACGGGAGGCAGCAGUGAGGAAUAUUGGUCAAUGGGCGCAAGCCUGAACCAGCCAUGCCGCGUGCAGGAAGAAUGCCCUAUGGGUUGUAAACUGCUUUUAUUUUGGAAUAAACUCUUGUACGUGUACAAGCCUGAAGGUACUAAAUGAAUAAGCACCGGCUAACUCCGUGCCAGCAGCCGCGGUAAUACGGAGGGUGCAAGCGUUAUCCGGAAUCAUUGGGUUUAAAGGGUCCGCAGGCGGAUUUA